rnacentral:rRNA from 4 species
UCGUAACAAGGUUUCCGUAGGUGAACCUGCGGAAGGAUCA